rnacentral:rRNA from 1 species
UACGUAGGGCGCAAGCGUUGUCCGGAAUCAUUGGGCGUAAAGCGCGUGUAGGCGGUUCGGUAAGUCUGCUGUGAAAGUCCAGGGCUCAACCCUGGGAUGCCGGUGGAUACUGUCGGACUAGAGUACGGAAGAGGCGAGUGGAAUUCCCGGUGUAGCGGUGAAAUGCGCAGAUAUCGGGAGGAACACCAAUGGCGAAGGCAGCGCGCUGGGACGUCACUGACGCUGAGACGCGAAAGCGUGGGGAGCGAACAGG